AGGACACUGAAUGGAGCGCAGGCUAGCUGUCCCCUCUGCAAAGCACAAGGGCAUGGUUUCGUCACUGCGAUGAAUGCCUGCCACUUUCACUCGGAGACCUUGAGGACGGUACAAAUGUUCCUGGUAAUGGCAGCAAGCACUUGGUGGUUAACCAAAGGAAAAUAUCCAGAACAGAACAACAAGAACUUGGGAUUGCCGCAAUGACUUUUCACAGCCUAAUCGAAUUCCCACAGUAUAAUAUGUAAUGGAAAAAAAGCCAACAAAAGUCAUCUAAAUCAAUUAAAACCUCUUUCAGGAAUAAACUGACCAAAC